UAAUUGAAAGCCAAAUAGAGGCUCUUAACUGUUACUUAAGCCAUUGUCACAUAAACUCAAUUAG
rnacentral:tRNA from 1 species